UAGCUCAGUUGGUAGAGCGGAGGAC
rnacentral:piRNA from 4 species